CAGGUAGUUGGCGGGGUAACGGCCCACCAAGCCUGCGAUCAGUAACUGGUGUGAGAGCACGACCAGUCACACGGGCACUGAGACACGGGCCCGACUCCUACGGGAGGCAGCAGUAAGGAAUAUUGGUCAAUGGACGCAAGUCUGAACCAGCCAUGCCGCGUGGAGGAUUAAGGCCCUCUGGGUUGUAAACUCCUUUUAUCUGGGAAGAAAUCCAUAUAUUCUUAUAUGGUUGACGGUACCAGAGGAAUAAGCACCGGCUAACUCCGUGCCAGCAGCCGCGGUAAUACGGAGGGUGCAAGCGUUAUCCGGAUUCACUGGGUUUAAAGGGUGCGUAGGCGGGUAAGUAAGUCCGUGGUGAAAUCUCUGAGCUUAACUCAGAAACUGCCGUGGAUACUAUUUGCCUUGAAUAUUGUGGAGGUGAGCGGAAUAUGUCAUGUAGCGGUGAAAUGCUUAGAUAUGACAUAGAACACCAAUUGCGAAGGCAGCUCACUACACAGUCAUUGACGC
rnacentral:rRNA from 1 species